UACGUAGGGUGCGAGCGUUGUCCGGAAUUAUUGGGCGUAAAGGGCUCGUAGGCGGUUUGUCGCGUCGGGAGUGAAAACCUCGGGCUUAACUCGGGGCUUGCUUUCGAUACGGGCAGACUGGAGGUAUGCAGGGGAGAACGGAGUUCCUGGUGUAGCGGUGAAAUGCGCAGAUAUCAGGAGGAACACCGGUGGCGAAGGCGGUUCUCUGGGCAGUAACUGACGCUGAGGAGCGAAAGCGUGGGGAGCGAACAGG
rnacentral:rRNA from 1 species